rnacentral:rRNA from 1 species
GUGGAUUCUCAAGCGUGAGGUAAGAGCAUUUGGUGGAUGCCUUGGCAUGUGCAGGCGAUGAAGGACGUGGCACGCUGCGAUAAGCGUCGGGGAGAUGUGAGCAAUCUUUGAUCCGGCGAUUUCCGAAUGGGGAAACCCACCCUCACCAUUUCCUUUCGAUCGACCUUCGGGUGGAUCGGAAAGAGGUGGAUAGGGUAUCACCAGACUGAAUAUAUAGGUUUGGUGAAGCGAACCCGGGGAACUGAAACAUCUCAGUACCCGGAGGAAAAGACAUCAACAGAGAUUCCCGUAGUAGUGGCGAGCGAACCGGGACCAGGCCAGU